UGGGGAAUAUUGCACACUGGGCGCAAGCCUGAUGCAGCCAUGCCGCGUGUGUGAAGAAGUCCUUCGGGUUGUAAAGCACUUUCAGCGGGGCGGAAGGCGGUGAGGUUAAUAACCUCAUCGAUUGACGCUACCCGCAGAAGAAGCUCCGGCUAACUCCGUGCCAGUAGCCGCGGUAAUACGGAGGGUGCAAGCGUUAAUCGGAAUUACUGGGCGUAAAGCGCACGCACGCGGUCUGUCAAGUCGGAUGUGAAAUCCCCGGGCUCAACCUGGGAACUGCAUGCGAAACUGGCAGGGUAGAGUCAUGUAGAGGGGAGUAGAAUUCCAGGGGUAGCGGUGAAAUGCGUAGAGAUCUAGAGGAAUACCGAUGGAGAGGGCGGCCCCCUGGACAAAGACUGACGCUCAGGUGCGAAAGAGUGGGGAGCAAACAGG
rnacentral:rRNA from 1 species